rnacentral:lncRNA from 1 species
UAUCUGUAAGUGUGUGUAGAGUGUAAUGUGUAGUGUGUGUGUGUAUCCUGACAUCCUCUUCACCUUGUUGUACUGCAGGUCAGACACAACCCCGGACAGAGUAGUCCUGGCAUGUAUAUCUGUAGUGGUGUGUGUGUGUGUGUAUCCUGACUAUCCUCUCACCUUGAUGUACUGCAGGUCAGACACAGCCCUGACAGAGUAGUCUGGCAUGUAUAUCUGUAUGUGGUGUAGUGUUGUUGUGGUGUGGUAUCCUGACUAUCCGCUCACCUUGAUUGUAC